AUUGAACGCUGGCGGCAUGCCUUACACAUGCAAAUCGAACGGUAACAGGUCUUCGGAUGCUGACGAGUGGCGAACGGGUGAGUAAUACAUCGGAACGUGCCUAGUAGUGGGGGAUAACUACUCGAAAGAGUGGCUAAUACCGCAUGAGAUCUACGGAUGAAAGCAGGGGAUCGAAAGACCUUGCGCUACUAGAGCGGUCGAUGGCAGAUUAGGUAGUUGGUGGGAUAAAAGCUUACCAAGCCGACGAUCUGUAGCUGGUCUGAGAGGACGAUCAGCCACACUGGGACGAGGACACGGCCCAGACUCCUCCGGGAGGCAGCAGUGGGGAAUUUUGCGCAAUGGGCGAAGGCCUGCCGCGGCGACGCCGCGUGGAGAUGACGGUCUUAGGAUUGUAAACUCCUGUUAAGCGGGAAGAAAACCCAACUUCUAAUAUAAGUUGGGAAUGACGGUACCGCUAGAGAAAGCACCGGCUAAUUUCGUGCCAGCAGCCGCCGUAACAC
rnacentral:rRNA from 1 species